rnacentral:rRNA from 1 species
AACGUAGGGGGCAAGCGUUGCCCGGAUUCACUGGGCGUAAAGCGCGUGUAGGCGGUCCGUUAAGUCGGAUGUGAAAUCUCUGGGCUCAACCCAGAAAUCGCAUCCGAUACUGGCGGACUUGAGGAUGGUAGAGGUUGGUGGAAUUCCCGGUGUACCGGUGAAAUGGACAGAUAUCGGGAGGAACACCAGUGGCGAAGGCGGCCAACUGGGCCAUUCCUGACGCUGAGACGCGAAAGCCAGGGGAGCGAACCGG